GACGAACGCUGGCGGCGCGCCUAACACAUGCAAGUCGAACGAGCGAGAGAGAGCUUGCUUUCUCGAGCGAGUGGCGAACGGGUGAGUAACGCGUGAGGAACCUGCCUCAAAGAGGGGGACAACAGUUGGAAACGACUGCUAAUACCGCAUAAGCCCACGGGUCGGCAUCGACCAGGGGGAAAAGGAGUGAUCCGCUUUGAGAUGGCCUCGCGUCCGAUUAGCUAGUUGGUGAGGUAACGGCCCACCAAGGCAACGAUCGGUAGCCGGACUGAGAGGUUGAACGGCCACAUUGGGACUGAGACACGGCCCAAACUCCUACGGGAGGCAGCAGUGGGGAAUAUUGCACAAUGGGGGAAACCCUGAUGCAGCGACGCCGCGUGAGUGAUGAAGUAUUUCGGUAUGUAAAGCUCUAUCAGCAGGGAAGAUAAUGACGGUACCUGACUAAGAAGCCCCGGCUAACUACGUG
rnacentral:rRNA from 1 species